CACACACACACACACAUCUAUACAGUCCACACCAUCACACACACACAUCCAUACAGUCCACACCAUCACACACACAUCCAUAUAGUCCACACCAUCACAUACCCGUACAGUCCACACCGUCAUACACACACACACAUAUCUGUACAGUCCACACCUUCACACAUCCAUACAGUCCACACCGUCAUACACACACACAUCUAUACAGUCCACACCGUCACACAUCCGUACAGUCCACACCGUCAAACACACACACAUCUAUACAGUCCACAUCGUCACACAUCCAUACAGUUCACACCAUCAUACACACAUCUAUACAGUCCACACCAUCACAUGCACACACAUCUAUAUGGUCUACACCAUCACACACACACACAUCUAUACAGUCCACACUGUUACAUGCACACAUCUAUACAGUCCACACCGUCACACAUCUAUACAGUCCACACCGUCAUACACACACACAUCUCUACAGUCCACACCAUCACAUACACACACACAUCUAUAUGGUCUACACCGUCACACACACACAUCUAUACAGUCCACACCGUCGUACACACACGCCCACACCCGCAUGCCCACACAUCCAUACAGUCCACAUUCACGUAUGCCCAUAUGCAUCCAUUCACACGUGUGUACACAUGCUC
rnacentral:lncRNA from 1 species